rnacentral:lncRNA from 1 species
ACUACGAGAAAGGUGAUUAAACUUGACGCAGAGCAAGACUGAGGAAAAGACAUUGCAGAAGUGAGGAAUGAGAAACUUACUUCACUAAAUAUUCCAAAAGACAACAUUGCUGCAACACCCAAUGAAGACGGAUGAAAUGGCUAAGGCAACCCCCAUCGAGAAGGGAUGAUGGUAACUUAAAAACAGGAGACCCCAAGUAUGAACACGUUGAACUUCACGUUAAUAUUUAGAGCUUCGAGGUGCAAUCUCAUAAGUGCAGGAAAAACGGGUGAGUUGAAAUACGUAAGCUACAAAAAUAGUUUGUGAAAAUACGGGUACUUGUGACAGCGGCGAUAAGGUUGACACACGACAAGUUAGUGAUGAAAGCUCUUCGCUACUGAUAACGAAAAUGAAUGAUAAAGAUGUCAACAAAAAAAUUCCGAGUAUUUGAGGUUAUGUUUACAUUUCUCGCGCGCCGCUCAUUCAAAUCUAAUUCAAAUCAUUUCAUGGCCACGGCAUGAGUGCAGGAUUCAACUUGUUGGAGUUAGAUUUCAAAAAUCCAAAAGUCUCUAAUUUGAUCGUGAAUUACCGACGAAGUUUAGGAAUACCUUGUUUGAGAGAAGCUUUCACUUCUUAUUUUCUGCUACAUUCGCAUGCUCCUAUCUAGUGAUUUUACAAACUCGGCCAGUCCAAGAAGAGCAAGAAGAGUCUCAAAACUCAGAACCUGGUACAGAUUUUUCACACUGAAAAAUGCCACCUAGAAAGAAGAAAAUUCAAGAAGCAGUUGUCAUCAUAUUAGACGUUGGUUAUGGUGGAGAAAACGCGGGAACAUCCUCAUCCAAAAGUUUCUUUGAGAAAGGAAAAGAAUGUGUCAUUGGAUUAAUCAAGAAAAAGGUAACUAGCGAAGUCUAUCUGCAGCAUCUUCUGUAAUUUAUCAAUGAUAGAACUUUUUUUUCUCUCUAAGUGCAUUCAACUCCACCUGCUGUAUCAUUAAUUUUAAUGGGACUGGAGCUUUCUUAAGCUAACUUUAGUAACAAUCGUGGUUUUUUUUUUUUUUUUUUUACAAAUAUUGUUUCUACUUGAUGCUUCGAAAUACAAUUGAGGAGUUCUUUGGCAUAACCACGUAUACGCGUAUACGCCGUUUUUCUGGAGAUCGGUUCUACUAAAUCCUCUGACUCUGAGCUGUUGGUACAAACAGUUUGUAUAUGUUUCUGAUGAAAAAUUAUUAAGGCUAAGCCGGUCCGAACACCCGCACCUCCUCAUCCGAGACGUUCUCCGGAAAAACCACGUAUAAUUGCAUUGGUAUAAUUUGCAUAAGGAAAAAGUUAAAUCGUACAAUCAACUCAAAGUGACCUCAUCGGGGGGUAUGAAAGUGAUCCCAAUACUGUUAUUCUGGAGUUUGACUAUGCGCAAAAUUUGCCAGUGCCGAAAUUAAAUUGCACCAAACAAUUUUAUAAACGUUUAUUGUGGUUUUACAUAUUUAAUGUGCACGUGC